rnacentral:tRNA from 1 species
CUGGGGAUGUAGCUCAGUGGUAAAGCACUUGCGUAGCAUGCAUGUAGCCCUGGGUUCAAUUCCCAGGACUGAGG